CCCCACCCCCUGUGCUUUCUGGCAGCGACAGCACAGGCUGGAGUGUGGCAUUGACUUCCCUCUCUUCGGAUCACCAGCUCGGUUCUCCGAGGUGUUACAGCCUCUGCCACAUCCAAGGACACCAGCAGCGAGCAGGAGGCUGUGGAGGGAUGGAUAUGGAGAGGCUUUCACAGGACAUUUGUCACCCAAGCACUGCCUGGAGCAGGAACCUGGAGCAGGAACCCAGACAGACCAGGAGCCCAGGGAUGGCUGAUG